CAUGUGUGUGACAGAAUGGUACACAAUGCUGCAUAGACAAAAUUUUAGUAUCGUUCGAUAGCGAAUUUUCACGGUUUUUUCAAUUAUAAAUUGAAAAAAAGUGAUAUUUCUAAGCCGAUUUUCGAACAUCCGACCAUGGCAAACGAAAGAGCAUACUUUUUUUCUAUAUAAUGGCAUAUUCUUUAGAGAACUUUUCUAAUUAGUUAAAAUUUUAUGAAAAAUAUAGACAAAAUUUUAGUAUCGUUCGAUAG